GGUAAUCCUCGUUUGUCCCAACUGGUCUCAGAAGUCUCGCACCGCGUUCGCGCUCUUCAGCAAGUCAGCAAUGGUACCGGUGUUGUUGUUCCAACUGCGGCAACUGUUUCCCGCAACCGUCGGUCUGCUACUCCGUUCGGUCCUGCUAUCCCUGCUACUGUCUUUUGCAUUGCCUCUGCUCCUCCCCCCUCCCCUGCGGCUCCUGUGCCUGCGUCUACUGAGCAUUUGUUGACUGAACGCUCCAUUGCCCC
rnacentral:lncRNA from 1 species